rnacentral:piRNA from 1 species
UCCUUUGGCAGAUGAUGAGACGAGUGUAU